AUUGAACGCUGGCGGCAGGCCUAACACAUGCAAGUCGAGCGAGCGGCGGACGGGUGAUGAAUAUCUGGGAAACUGCCUGUGGGAGGGGGCGAACGACUGGAAACGGUAGCUAAUACCGCAUCCCAUCAGAUGUGCCCAGAUGGGAUUAGCUGGUGGGUGGGGUAACGGCUCACCUAGGCGACGAUCCCUAGCUGGUCUGAGAGGAUGACCAGCCACACUGGAACUGAGACACGGUCCAGACUCCUACGGGAGGCAGCAGUGGGGAAUAUUGCACAAUGGGCGCAAGCCUGAUGCAGCCAUGCCGCGUGUGUGAAGAAGGCCUUCGGGUUGUAAAGCACUUUCAGCGGGGAGGCGUUACCCGCAGAAGAAGCACCGGCUAACUCCGUGCCAGCAGCCGCGGUAAUAC
rnacentral:rRNA from 1 species